UACAGAGGUUCCGAGCGUUGUUCGGAUUCAUUGGGCGUAAAGGGUGCGUAGGCGGCGGGGUAAGUUUGAUGUGAAAUCCCGGGGCUCAACCCUGGAAUUGCAUUGAAUACUACCUUGCUAGAGUACCGGAGAGGAAACUGGAAUUUACGGUGUAGCAGUGAAAUGCGUAGAGAUCGUAAGGAAGACCAGUGGCGAAGGCGAGUUUCUGGACGGUAACUGACGCUGAGGCACGAAGGCCAGGGGAGCAAACGGG
rnacentral:rRNA from 1 species